rnacentral:rRNA from 1 species
GUAGGGAAUCUUCCACAAUGGACGAAAGUCUGAUGGAGCAACGCCGCGUGAGCGAAGAAGGUUUUCGGAUCGUAAAGCUCUGUUGCCGGAGAAGAACGGACGGGAGAGGAAAUGCUCUUGUCGUGACGGUAUCCGGCCAGAAAGCCACGGCUAACUACGUGCCAGCAGCCGCGGUAAUACGUAGGUGGCAAGCGUUGUCCGGAAUUAUUGGGCGUAAAGCGCGCGCAGGCGGUUUCCUAAGUCUGAUGUGAAAUCUUGCGGCUCAACCGCAAGCGGCCAUUGGAAACUGGGAAGCUUGAGUACAGAAGAGGAGAGUAGAAUUCCACGUGUAGCGGUGAAAUGCGUAGAGAUGUGGAGGAAUACCGGUGGCGAAGGCGGCUCUCUGGUCUGUUACUGACGCUGAGGUGCGAAAGCGUGGGGAGCAAACAGGAUUAGAAACCCUAGUAGUCC